AUUGAACGCUGGCGGCAGGCCUAACACAUGCAAGUCGAACGGUAACAGGAAGCAGCUUGCUGCUUUGCUGACGAGUGGCGGACGGGUGAGUAAUGUCUGGGAAACUGCCUGAUGGAGGGGGAUAACUACUGGAAACGGUAGCUAAUACCGCAUAACGUCGCAAGACCAAAGAGGGGGACCUUCGGGCCUCUUGCCAUCGGAUGUGCCCAGAUGGGAUUAGCUAGUAGGUGGGGUAACGGCUCACCUAGGCGACGAUCCCUAGCUGGUCUGAGAGGAUGACCAGCCACACUGGAACUGAGACACGGUCCAGACUCCUACGGGAGGCAACAGUGGGGAAUAUUGCACAAUGGGCGCAAGCCUGAUGCAGCCAUGCCGCGUGUAUGAAGAAGGCCUUCGGGUUGUAAAGUACUUUCAGCGGGGAGGAAGGGAGUAAAGUUAAUACCUUUGCUCAUUGACGUUACCCGCAGAAGAAGCACCGGCUAACUCCGUG
rnacentral:rRNA from 1 species